rnacentral:rRNA from 1 species
GAUGAACGCUGGCGGCGUGCCUAAUACAUGCAAGUCGAGCGAACGGAUUAGAAGCUUGCUUCUCUGAUGUUAGCGGCGGACGGGCGAGCAACACGUGGAUAACCUACUUAUAAGACUGGGAUAACUUCGGGAAACCGGAGCUAAUACCGGAUAAUAUUUUGAACUGCAUGGUUCAAAAGUGAAAGACGGUCUUGCUGUCUUUUAUAGAUGGAACCGCGCGUUAUUAGCUAUUUGGUAAGGUAACGGCUUACCAAGGCAAUGAUCCAUAGCAGACCUGAGAGGGUGAUCGCCCAACCUGGACCUGGGACACGGCCCAACCUCCUCGGGGAGGCAGCGUAAGGAAAUCUUCCGAAAUGGGCGAAGGCCUGACGGAGCAACGCCGCGUGGGUAAUGAAGGUCUUCGGAUCGUAAAACUCUGUUUAUGGGAAGGACCAUAUGUGUAGGUAACUGUGCACAUCUUGACGGUACCUAAUCAGAAAGCCACGGCUAACUACGUG